CCCUUUAACUCAGCGGUGGAGUGACGCCGUAGUGAGGCGUAAGUCGUUGGUUCAAAUUUGACAAGGGGCU
rnacentral:tRNA from 1 species